GACGAACGCUGGCGGUGUGUCUAAUACAUGCAAGUCGACCUUAGUUGCGAAUGGGUGAGUAACCCGUGGCCAACCUGCCCAUCAGAAGGGGCUAACACUUGGAAACAGCUGCUAAUACUGCAUACUGAUGGAUGGACCCGCGGUGCAUUAGCUCGUUGGUGGGGUAACGGCUCACCAUGGCCACGAUGCAUAGCGGACCUGAGAGGAUGAUCGGCCACAAUGGGACUGAGACACGGCCAAAACUCCUACGGGAGGCAGCAGUAGGGAAUCUUCGGCAAUGGACGAAAGUCUGACCGAGCAACGCCGCGUGAGUGAAGAAGGUUUUCGGGUCGUAAAACUCUGUUGUUAGAGAAGCGGUAUCUAACCAGAAAGCCACGGCUAACUACGUGCCAGCAGCCGCGGUAAUAC
rnacentral:rRNA from 1 species